rnacentral:rRNA from 1 species
GAUGAACGCUGGCGGCGUGCCUAAUACAUGCAAGUCGAGCGAACAGACGAGGAGCUUGCUCCUCUGACGUUAGCGGCGGACGGGUGAGUAACACGUGGAUAACCUACCUAUAAGACUGGGAUAACUUCGGGAAACCGGAGCUAAUACCGGAUAAUAUAUUGAACCGCAUGGUUCAAUAGUGAAAGACGGUUUUUCUGUCACUUGUAGAUGGAUCCGCGCCGGAUUAGCUAGUUGGUAGGGUAACGGCUUACCAAGGCAACGAUGCGUAGCCGGCCUGAGAGGGUGAACGGCCACAGUGGGACGGAGAGAGGGCCCAGACGGCGACGGGAGGGAGCAGUGGGGAAUAGGGCACAAUGGGCGGAAGCCUGAUGCAGAAACGCCGGGUGCGGGAGGACGGCCGACGGGUUGUAAACCGAUUUCGCCUGUGACGAAGCGGGAGUGACGGUAAUGGGUAAAGAAGCACCGGCUAACUACGUG